UACGUAGGGUGGCAAGCGUUGUCCGAAAUUAUUGGGCGUAAAGCGCGCGCAGGCGGUCCUUUAAGUCCGAUGUGAAAUGCCCACGGCUCAACCGUGGAGGGUCAUUGGAAACUGGGGGACUUGAGUACAGAAGAGAAGAGUGGAAUUCCACGUGUAGCGGUGAAAUGCGUAGAGAUGUGGAGGAACACCAGUGGCGAAGGCGACUCUUUGGUCUGUAACUGACGCUGAGGCGCGAAAGCGUGGGGAGCAAACAGG
rnacentral:rRNA from 1 species